UUCUCCUCCUCCUCCUCUGGGCGGGCUCGGCUGGAGGAGCUGCCACCAGUCAACACACCUGCAAUAUAUAUACCCCGGGUUUCAUGCUACUCUUCGCCAGAUCGUUCCGUCGCCCUCAGUGGUCUGUCACCUGCCAGCUGUGGCUGCUCCCCACCUGCCUGCUCACUCCUGCACUCUGCUCAUUGGAUUAAUUUGGAACCUUUUUGGAAUAAAUAUUCUUUUUGUUCUACCUUUAAAA